GUGGGGAAUCUUCCGCAAUGGACGAAAGUCUGACGGAGCAACGCCGCGUGAGUGAUGACGGUCUUCGGAUUGUAAAGCUCUGUUAAUCGGGACGAAAGAGCUCUGUGUGAAUAAUGCAGAGAAGUGACGGUACCGGAAUAGAAAGCCACGGCUAACUACGUGCCAGCAGCCGCGGUAAUACGUAGGUGGCAAGCGUUGUCCGGAAUUAUUGGGCGUAAAGCGCGCGCAGGCGGGUUUUUAAGUCUGUCUUAAAAGUUCGGGGCUUAACCCCGUGAGGGGAUGGAAACUGGAAACCUAGAGUAUCGGAGAGGAAAGCGGAAUUCCUAGUGUAGCGGUGAAAUGCGUAGAUAUUAGGAAGAACACCAGUGGCGAAGGCGGCUUUCUGGACGAAAACUGACGCUGAGGCGCGAAAGCCAGGGGAGCAAACGGGAUUAGAAACCCUGGUAGUCC
rnacentral:rRNA from 1 species